CCCUUAGAUGUCCUGGGCCGCACGCGCGUUACACUGAUGCAUUCAACGAGCUUAUAACCUUGGCCGAGAGGCCUGGUAAUCUUGUUAACGUGCAUCGUGAUAGGGAUAGAUUAUUGAAAUUAUUAAUCUUGAACGAGGAAUUCCUAGUAAACGCAGAUCAUCAAUCUGCAUUGAUUACGUCCCUGCCCUUUGUACACACCGCCCGUCGCACCUACCGAUUGGAUGGUCCGGUGAAGCCUCGGGAUUGUGGUUCUUGCCGCUUUAUUGUGGCGUGACCGCGAGAACUUGUCUAAACCUUAUCAUCUAGAGGAAGGUGAAGUCGUAACA
rnacentral:rRNA from 1 species